CGCAGGGGGGGGGGGCUAAUACAUGCAAGUCGAACGCUUUGUGGUUCAACUGAUUUGAAGAGCUUGCUCAGAUAUGACGAUGGACAUUGCAAAGAGUGGCGAACGGGUGAGUAACACGUGGGAAACCUACCUCUUAGCAGGGGAUAACAUUUGGAAACAGAUGCUAAUACCGUAUAACAAUGACAACCGCAUGGUUGUUAUUUAAAAGAUGGUUCUGCUAUCACUAAGAGAUGGUCCCGCGGUGCAUUAGCUAGUUGGUAAGGUAAUGGCUUACCAAGGCGAUGAUGCAUAGCCGAGUUGAGAGACUGAUCGGCCACAAUGGGACUGAGACACGGCCCAUACUCCUACGGGAGGCAGCAGUAGGGAAUCUUCCACAAUGGGCGAAAGCCUGAUGGAGCAACGCCGCGUGUGUGAUGAAGGGUUUCGGCUCGUAAAACACUGUUGUAAGAGAAGAAUGACAUUGAGAGUAACUGUUCAAUGUGUGACGGUAUCUUACCAGAAAGGAACGGCUAAAUACGUGCCAGCAGCCGCGGUAAUACGUAUGUUCCAAGCGUUAUCCGGAUUUAUUGGGCGUAAAGCGAGCGCAGACGGUUAUUUAAGUCUGAAGUGAAAGCCCUCAGCUCAACUGAGGAAUUGCUUUGGAAACUGGAUGACUUGAGUGCAGUAGAGGAAAGUGGAACUCCAUGUGUAGCGGUGAAAUGCGUAGAUAUAUGGAAGAACACCAGUGGCGAAGGCGGCUUUCUGGACUGUAACUGACGUUGAGGCUCGAAAGUGUGGGUAGCAAACAGGAUUAGAUACCCUGGUAGUCCACACCGUAAACGAUGAGUGCUAGGUGUUUGAGGGUUUCCGCCCUUAAGUGCCGCAGCUAACGCAUUAAGCACUCCGCCUGGGGAGUACGACCGCAAGGUUGAAACUCAAAGGAAUUGACGGGGACCCGCACAAGCGGUGGAGCAUGUGGUUUAAUUCGAAGCAACGCGAAGAACCUUACCAGGUCUUGACAUCCCUUGACAACUCCAGAGAUGGAGCGUUCCCUUCGGGGACAAGGUGACAGGUGGUGCAUGGUUGUCGUCAGCUCGUGUCGUGAGAUGUUGGGUUAAGUCCCGCAACGAGCGCAACCCUUAUUACUAGUUGCCAGCAUUCAGUUGGGCACUCUAGUGAGACUGCCGGUGACAAACCGGAGGAAGGUGGGGAUGACGUCAAAUCAUCAUGCCCCUUAUGACCUGGGCUACACACGUGCUACAAUGGCGUAUACAACGAGUUGCCAACCCGCGAGGGUGAGCUAAUCUCUUAAAGUACGUCUCAGUUCGGAUUGUAGGCUGCAACUCGCCUACAUGAAGUCGGAAUCGCUAGUAAUCGCGGAUCAGCACGCCGCGGUGAAUACGUUCCCGGGUCUUGUACACACCGCCCGUCACACCAUGAGAGUUUGUAACACCCAAAGCCGGUGGGGUAACCUUCGGGAGCCAGCGUCUAAAGGGGGAACAAGAGAGG
rnacentral:rRNA from 1 species